GACGAACGCUGGCGGCGUGCUUAACACAUGCAAGUCGAACGGAAAGGCCCUGCUUUUGUGGGGUGCUCGAGUGGCGAAAGGGUGAGUAACACGUGAGUAACCUGCCCUUGACUUUGGGAUAACUUCAGGAAACUGGGGCUAAUACCGGAUAGGAGCUCCUGCUGCAUGGUGGGGGUUGGAAAGUUUCGGCGGUUGGGGAUGGACUCGCGGCUUAUCAGCUUGUUGGUGGGGUAGUGGCUUACCAAGGCUUUGACGGGUAGCCGGCCUGAGAGGGUGACCGGCCACAUUGGGACUGAGAUACGGCCCAGACUCCGACGGGAAGCAGCAGUGGGGAAUAUUGCACAAUGGGCGGAAGCCUGAUGCAGCAACGCCGCGUGCGGGAUGACGGCCUUCGGGUUGUAAACCGCUUUCGCCUGUGACGAAGCGUGAGUGACGGUAAUGGGUAAAGAAGCACCGGCUAACUACGUG
rnacentral:rRNA from 1 species